rnacentral:rRNA from 1 species
CCUACGGGUGGCAGCAGUGAGGAAUAUUGGUCAAUGGACGCGAGUCUGAACCAGUCAAGUAGCGUGAAGGAUGACUGCCCUAUGGGUUGUAAACUUCUUUUAUAUGGGAAUAAAAUGUUCCACGUGUGGGAUUUUGUAUGUACUUUAUGAAUAAGGAUCGGCUAACUCCGUGCCAGCAGCCGCGGUAAUACGGAGGAUCCGAGCGUUAUCCGGAUUUAUUGGGUUUAAAGGGAGCGUAGGUGGAUUGUUAAGUCAGUUGUGAAAGUUUGCGGCUCAACCGUAAAAUUGCAGUUGAAACUGGCAGUCUUGAGUACAGUAGAGGUGGGCGGAAUUCGUGGUGUAGCGGUGAAAUGCUUAGAUAUCACGAAGAACUCCGAUUGCGAAGGCAGUUCACUAGACUGCAACUGACACUGAGGCUCGAAAGUGUGGGUAUCAAACAGGAUUAGAUACCCUUGUAGUC